ensembl:lncRNA
AAGCUGAGCCCUGCUGGUAGAUAUGAGCCUGCAGAAAGCACCAGAUAAAGCAGCACCAGUCUUCCUCCUUCCCCUAGGAAGGUUAGACAUCCCAGCUGGACUGUCUCUGGCUAUUCUGCUACAUUAAGGGUGUUGGAACAUAAAAAUUAGAACCUACCACCAACAAGGUCUGAAAAAACUCGAUCUUUCUGGAUAAAAGUCCCAGAAUCACGUACAAUUUGGUUGGAAGGGAUUGCUGGAUGUCAUCUGCUCCAUUAUCAUACUCUAAGCACUGCUGCCAUCAGAAAGAGAAGGUGUGAGAAAUAGACGUGGAUCCCUGAAGAAAGAAGAGGGAAUUCCAGCUGUUUCUGGUAGCCAGUCCUACAGAGUUGUGUUUGGUACAUCUCAGGAUACUUUGAUACAGUUCCUCUGAGGAGAUAGAUGCUAUGGGAAGCAUUCCCUAACCUCUUAUUGCUAAAUAUAGGUGUAGUCUACUAAAUGCAGCCAUCUGGAAAGUAAUACUAUUUAAAGCAGUGUAAGACUCUCUUGUUCGGGAAGGCACUGUGUAGAGUCAGACACUAUCAUGGUUUACAUAGGCUGUGCUCAAUUAUCCAUAAACCUCAUUGGCCGUUGUAUGGUACUAAGGUUUUAAAGCUUCCUGGCAUCCUUUUAAGACUGGAUUAUUUCCACUUAAAUGGGAGCUGCUUCUCUUUUACUGUAUUUGAUAACUUCAGGUUUAAGUGCUGAGCUAUCAUAUGUUUUAAUGUUGUGAACUGGAAUUACUCUUUCCUUCCUAAAGAGCUCAACGUGCUCAAUUAGAGUAGUACUGAUGUCAUCACAGACAAAAAAUAAAAUAAAAUAACAGCCUAUUUUGG